rfam:Prevotella copri strain 2789STDY5834881 genome assembly, contig: SCcontig000365
GGUCGUUUCGGUUCGAUCGGGAUACUCAUCAAAUUACACUAUUGAAACCGAGAGGACAUUCUCUUGCUCAUGGCGGGCCACAUAAACUGCAGCAGGCAGGUAAGCUGAAAAGCCGGUGGAUUACAAAGGCGGAGGACUCUCAAAUGUUUAUACAUUCGGAGUUUCAUCACAUCAUCGAGCGGCCCUUUCU